UGUCAUCAUUUAUCGUUUUUUUACGAUUGGUUAUAAAUAGUGGAACGUUCAGCAGUACUCGGGUUUUACCGCUGCAUACUAUGAAAAGUCUGAGCAUGCGCACUUUCAACGCUUGAUUUUUAAAAACAGUGAUAACCAAACUUGCAGUGAAAUUUAGCUCGAUCCAGAUUCCAGAACAAAGAAAAAGAGUCUUGUAUAAAAAUCCACAGAUCCAAUGUGUCUGAGGUUGAAGAAUGCAUUGCAGUAACACUUAAGCAUGCACCAGCUCAUAAAGAUGGACCAAGAUAUAAAAAGAGACCUGAAACCAACACAAGACCAGCUGAUCAGAGGGUAGAAAACCAAAAUUUGGAAUGACAUGUAUACAACCAACACAAGACUAAAAUUUGGAAUAAAAAUAAAAAAAUUCAGAAACAUAUUAUUAUUUUUUUAUUGGUUCAUGAAGCCAAAAAAAAAGAAGUCUUAACUUUUGGAUAGGUCUAUCUCUAGUUGGUCAAUGGAAAAAAGCAAUAGUUAGUUUGAUUGUAUUUCAGGUAGUUUCU